GAUGAACGCUGGCGGCGUGCCUAAUACAUGCAAGUCGAGCGAACAGACGAGGAGCUUGCUCCUCUGACGUUAGCGGCGGACGGGUGAGUAACACGUGGAUAACCUACCUAUAAGACUGGGAUAACUUCGGGAAACCGGAGCUAAUACCGGAUAAUAUAUUGAACCGCAUGGUUCAAUAGUGAAAGACGGUUUUGCUGUCACUUAUAGAUGGAUCCGCGCCGCAUUAGCUAGUUGGUAAGGUAACGGCUUACCAAGGCGACGAUGCGUAGCCGACCGCAGAGGGUGAUCGGCCACACUGGAAGUGAGACACGGUCCAGACUCCUACGGGAGGCAGCAGUAGGGAAUCUUCCGCAAUGGGCGAAAGCCUGACGGAGCAACGCCGCGUGAGUGAUGAAGGUCUUCGGAGCGUAAAACUCUGUUAUUAGGGAAGAACAAAUGUGUAAGUAACUAUGCACGUCUUGACGGUACCUAAUCAGAAAGCCACGGCUAACUACGUG
rnacentral:rRNA from 1 species